UUUUACAAUAUUGUCAUUACUUUAUUGAUUACACAGUUUCAGAAUCAUGGCUGUAUUCUGGUGUACACUAUAUGCAUUUUAUGAACCGGGUUGUCAAUUUGUUUCUAAUAUCCUACAAAACCUAAUAAGACAUAACAAGUUAUUUAAAUGUCUAUACGGCCCACAAAAACUAUAUUUCAACAAAUUAAUGAAUAACUUUAGCCAAAUUCACUUCAUUUUAAGUAAUAUGUGGAACUCCCUUUCAGCUGGACCGUGUACUUUUUUGAGUUCCUUUUACCAUUUAUACCGCUUGUUGUUUUUUGCCUAUAAAACAAAAAUGAAUGAAUGAAUGAAAGCGAGCGCUUUUGUUGUUGCAAGGAAAUGCUCUUCGGAAGCCUGACAGUUCAACGAACAAUCACCGGAGGUGCAGAUUUCUUAUGCGGUCCCGUGUGUGAAGCAGAGAAAGGGAAGGACCCUCUCAGUUGGACUCGAGAAAGCAACCUGCUGCCGUGAUGUCGUUCAUUUGCCAACAGCCCCUAAAGCCAGACAUCAGCGCUGUGGAUCGGCUCCGGAUUAUCUGCUGAGUGUCUUUUAGAUCUCUGAUCCACUUGCAUGAUUUACAUCGGCUCUUGAACUAAUUCUCAUCCAUCUUUUAGCCACAUAUGAAAAUGCUGACUUAUCUAGCGAUGACGCGGGUGAGUGAUUCUGACUACCAGUGGUGUGUUUACUCACACCAUUCGUGUUCGUUUUUACAGGAAAGCGGGCUUGUGUUGGAGAGUCCCUGGCUCGCAUGGAGAUCUUCCUCUUCCUGGUGACGCUCCUGCAGCGCCAGUAACUGACGUUUUUAGAUAAUGAAUGUGUCCUGUAACUCUGGCCUUCUCAGAUGUUUCCAUUCAAAACAACUUUGUUUGAGAGUCUUUAGAUGGGACGCCCACUGAAUACAGAUCGGUUUAGGUGGGGCCAGAUCAAAAAAUGAAAUAAAAACUAAAUGUUUUUAUUUUACAUUUGAAGGGCCUGCUCUGUCCGAGAGAUGAUUGAAUGAAUUGUGACAUUUAACAAUUGCAAUAUUUACAAAUGUUUCAGCUUUAACGGAGAGUUAAAGCUUUUCAUUAAUGUUAAAGGCACACCGAAGAUUAUGGGAAAAGGCCAACUCACUAUAAUGCCACAGUUGUUUCUCUUUUGUUUGGCUUGUUUAGUUUGGCUGUUUAAAUAAACAGUGCUAAUAAAUAUUAGUAACAAUCUAAAAUGAUCCCAAGGAGUAAAUUCAAUAUAUAUAUAUAUUUAGAUUGUUACUAAUAUUUAUUAGCACUGUUUAUACUAAAGCAAUACUAAACUGUGUAGUUGUUCUGUCAUAACACUCUGCAAAUGGGAACAAGCUGAAGCAUCCUACUGAAUUUAUGUACUUUUGUUUCUUUUUGUUU